ACUCCUACGGGAGGCAGCAGUGGGGAAUAUUGCACAAUGGGCGCAAGCCUGAUGCAGCCAUGCCGCGUGUGUGAAGAAGGCCUUCGGGUUGUAAAGCACUUUCAGUCGUGAGGAAGGUAGUGUAGUUAAUAGCAUAUCAUUUGACGUUAGCUGCAGAAGAAGCACCGGCUAACUCCGUGCCAGCAGCCGCGGUAAUACGGAGGGUGCGAGCGUUAAUCGGAAUUACUGGGCGUAAAGCGCAUGCAGGUGGUUUGUUAAGUCAGAUGUGAAAGCCCGGGGCUCAACCUCGGAAUUGCAUUUGAAACUGGCAAACUAGAGUACUGUAGAGGGGGGUAGAAUUUCAGGUGUAGCGGUGAAAUGCGUAGAGAUCUGAAGGAAUACCGGUGGCGAAGGCGGCCCCCUGGACAGAUACUGACACUCAGAUGCGAAAGCGUGGGGAGCAAACAGGAUUAGAUACCCUGGUAGCUACGAGU
rnacentral:rRNA from 1 species